AACGUGGACCACGUGUUGUCAUGGAGACGUAGUCACAAACCCGACUAAAUACAAUCUAGGGAGCAACAGUAGAAACAGCAUCGACGGUUACAUAUCACAGAACAGCUAAACUAAAAAAUUAAACAGAAUACAUAAUUUAAAAAAAAAAAAUUGAAAUGGAAUAUGUUGGGAGCAUCUAUGAAGGAGAGUACCAUAAUGGCAGGUUGGAAGGGAGUGGAGUGUAUACCCUCCAAACUGGGACUCGAUAUGAAGGGGAAAUGAAGGAUGGGAUGUAUCAUGGCAAAGGAACGCUCCACUUCCCCCUUGGAAAUAAAUAUGAAGGGAUUUGGGAAAAAGGAAUCGCAGUAGAGGGAAAGUACACAUUUGCAGAUGGACUUAAAUACAAGGAUAAAGACUGGGAGUACUGCGACGGUUACGACCGGAAGUUUUACACAGAAAUCUGUAAUGGACUUAAACCAGCAGGUCGUUCACAGCUAACCAACUUAGACUCACCAAGAGAGAUCACAGAAGGGUGUUAUGACUGUGGGGAUGGAUUUUAUAACCCCCAGACCAGAGUCAUCAUAGAUUACAAAAACACAUUUUUGAGAAAUGCAGAUUUGUCCAUUAUCAUGUAUGCUUGGACCCCCAGGAACACUAGUGCAUCAGAGGACUGUACUUACUCAGCAUGAAGAGGAACUGGACUCCCCCAAGAGAGACGGUACAGGCUACAGGGCCAGAGCAGCAGAGGAAAAGAAAAGGAACAGCUGCAGGUGGGAGGAACGAAGGGAAAAAGCCUGGAAUAAAAGGGACCGGGCCCAGAACUACUGCUCUGUAGGCUGGGCAGGAAGGGACAGGAAAUGCCCAGGAUUCAGGCCAAGUCUUGAAAAGCAGCAAAAGCAGAUGAUGAUGAUGAGCACGAAUGGAUUGUCAGGACCUGUCGAAAAAGUUGGGAUGAGAUAACUGGAUACAAGCCUAAACAUUAACAGCAGACAUUCUCUGCUUCUUGGUUUAUCUUUAGUUUCUCAAAAACAUACAUUUUACUUUCUUGCUGUUUCACAAUUUUGCAAUAAACAAGCUGCAAAUAUAUUGCGGUCUAGUUUGUGUGAUAGCAGAAUGCUUCUUAAUAGGUUUCUUUCAAACAUUUUCAAGAUGUGUUGUCCUGUUUUGUACACAAAACACAAAUUUCGUAUUUUAAUCAUGUUCUGGCAAUUGUCAGAAAAAAGACAGGAACUUUGAAAUACAAAAUAGUCACAUUUCUGUCAGCUGUUCUAAUUUAGAUUGUGCUACCUUUGUUACUUUAUGUUUGUUUAAUUAUAUAAGAAAGGUAAAUACUAUUGUAGAGAAGGAGUUGAAGUAAUAUAACUAAACCCCAAACCAGACAUUAAUAUCUGCUUUCUGUAUACUACAGAUGAUCUCAUAAGCGUAGCAAGUAGGUUGCAAUCAAUGGAAAGAUUCUAUUACUGACUCAAUGCAAACCAGCUUUUUGUGGUAGUUGUUACGGUAUUUUUUUUAAUAAGAAUGGGAAUAAAACAUUUACCCGCGAGGUUUUACACUAAAUAAUUGUCCAACAAACUAGGUGGGGUAGAAGAAAAAUAAAGCUGUCAAGUUGAUAAUUUGGAAUAUAUUGUAACACGCAAA